AGUGAACGCUGGCGGUAGGCCUAACACAUGCAAGUCGAACGGCAGCACAGUAAGAGCUUGCUCUUACGGGUGGCGAGUGGCGGACGGGUGAGGAAUACAUCGGAUUCUACUUUUUCGUGGGGGAUAACGUAGGGAAACUUACGCUAAUACCGCAUACGACCUACGGGUGAAAGCAGGGGAUCUUCGGACCUUGCGCGAUUGAAUGAGCCGAUGUCGGAUUAGCUAGUUGGCGGGGUAAAGGCCCACCAAGGCGACGAUCCGUAGCUGGUCUGAGAGGAUGAUCGGCCACACUGGAACUGAGACACGGUCCAGACUCCUACGGGAGGCAGCAGUGGGGAAUAUUGGACAAUGGGCGCAAGCCUGAUCCAGCCAUACCGCGUGAGUGAAGAAGGCCUUCGGGUUGUAAAGCCCUUUUGUUGGGAAAGAAAAGCAGCAGGUUAAUACCCCGCUGUUCUGACGGUACCCAAAGAAUAAGCACCGGCUAACUUCGUG
rnacentral:rRNA from 1 species